rnacentral:rRNA from 1 species
UACGUAGGGACCGAGCGUUGUCCGGAUUCAUUGGGCGUAAAGAGCUCGUAGGCGGUUCGAUAAGUCGGACGUGAAAUCUCCACGCUCAACGUGGAGGGGCCGUUCGAUACUGUCGUGACUCGAGUCCGGUAGGGGAGUGUGGAAUUCCCGGUGUAGCGGUGAAAUGCGCAGAGAUCGGGAGGAACACCGGUGGCGAAGGCGGGUCUCUGGGCCGGAUACCUGACGCUGAGGCACGAAG